rnacentral:rRNA from 1 species
AUAUCUAACCUCGGUCCGUGAUCCGGAUCAGGGACAGUGCCUGGUGGGUAGUUUAACUGGGGCGGUUGCCUCCUAAAAGGUAACGGAGGCGCCCAAAGGUUCCCUCAGCCUGGUUGGCAAUCAGGUUUUGAGUGUAAGUGCACAAGGGAGCUUGACUGUGAGACAGGCAUGUCGAGCAGGGACGAAAGUCGGGACUAGUGAUCCGGCGGUGGCUUGUGGAAGCGCCGUCGCUCAACGGAUAAAAGGUACCCCGGGGAUAACAGGCUGAUCUUGCCCAAGAGUCCAUAUCGACGGCAUGGUUUGGCACCUCGAUGUCGGCUCGUCGCAUCCUGGGGCUGGAGUAGGUCCCAAGGGUUGGGCUGUUCGCCCAUUAAAGCGGUACGCGAGCUGGGUUUAGAACGUCGUGAGACAGUUCGGUCCCUAUCCGCUGUGCGCGUAGGAAACUUGAGAAGAGCUGUCCCUAGUACGAGAGGACCGGGAUGGACGAACCUCUGGUGUGUCAGUUGUUCUGCCAAGAGCACGGCUGAUUAGCUACGUUCGGAAGUGAUAACCGCUGAAAGCAUCUAAGCGGGAAGCACGCUUCAAGAUGAGGUUUCCAUGGGCUUCGGCCCGAGAGGCUCCCAGCUAGACUACUGGGUUGAUAGGCCAGACGUGGAAGCACAGUAAUGUGUGUAGCUGACUGGUACUAAUAAGCCGAUAACUUGACACAACAAAG